ACUAAUGUGGCAGAUUAGUGCGGUGGAUUUAAGCUCCUCAUAUACUCUUUGAGUUAUUAGUA
rnacentral:tRNA from 1 species